CUCUAGUUCUUAGAGGACUAAGAUGAUUUGAGUUUUUGACAGCUAGAGGAAUUGGGAAGCCUGCUUUCCCACCAUUUCUAUGCUCUCUUGAAAUUUGGAAUGACAAAGGUUGAACUUCCUUGUCUCUUGGGCCUUUGCACAGGCUAGCUUUCAUCUCACUUAUGAAUACUGUGCCUAGUCAAGAAUUGGUGCUCAAGCCAAAUAUGGUAACAGCAGCAAUGAAAGAAUGUUCUUUGGGCCCAGGGAGAAGAUGAACAGGAAUGUGAGGAAAAGGCCACUGAAAUGUAUCAUGACUCACAAGACAGACAGAGUCUGAAACACAGAAGGAAAAGAGGAGGUGUGACAAGAAGGGGGUUCAAACUACUGGGGGAUGUCACCCCACAAACACAGAAUUGACCAUCAGCCUAUAUGAUGACCUGGGCAAGAUGUGGGGGAUUAAAGAUCCUCACAAUCCAAUUACAA